rnacentral:lncRNA from 1 species
AUAAGUUUCUGAAGCUGUUUAGAUUCAUCAUAUAAUAAGCAGAAUGAACAUGAAAGCGUGUCAUAGUACUGAAGGGAUUAACAGAGGAAAAAAAUGAAAAGAGAAAGAAUUAGGUAAGCAAGAAAUGGAACAGAAGACAUAGCAAAAUACAACAUUAAGAAGACUCAAUAGAUUGCAGAAUCUAACGACGAAAGUGGGAGCCUAUAUAAAGACAAUCCCACACCUACUACUAGACCGGACUGUAGGACAAAAAAAAAUAAAAAAGUAUUUCCUAAGGCUUACAUAGGAGAGAGGUUAGUUCCCCGUGGCAUUAUUUAGAGAAUGCAUUGGACGCGUGAAAGAAAACGAGACGGGGGUAGUGGUAGUGGUGGUGGUGGAGGAAGCUCUACGUCAUGUGAAGGACUCGAACCUUCUAUUGUUAGGGAGCGUGUGGCUUGGCCUGAAUAUUGCUUGGAGAGCCAGGUGGACACAUGACAAGACUAUAUGUGGUAAUGUACUCACUUUACUUUACUUUUAUUAAGUUCUCUCUCUCUCUCUCUCUCUCUCUCUCUCUCUCUCUCUCUCUCUCUCUCUCUCUCUCUCUCUGAAUGCUUUUAUUGGCUCGUGACGCUUUGGAAAAAUCAUCACGGAGUCAGAAACAGUCAUGCGAACAGUUUUCCUAAGUCUCCCUCCCCUUCUUCUUGUGGCCGUUUACAAUAGUAAGGCAUUGUGGGUCCUGUGGAAGUUGUAGUGUCUAUAGAUCACGUGUCACAGACGUCCAAUCAGAGCCAGCCAUGCCGGUAGUUACUUAAAUGACGUAGCACGGCAAAACUAAUCACGGACGUUCGACAAUAGGGCGUCCAAUGAAAGCUCGCUAUGAUGGGAUUUCCUUAUAGUAUUGCAUUUGUUUCUCUGGAGAGAGGAUGGACCGCGUCAUAUUCUACCAUUUGCCUGCCUGCAUCCACCAUGGACGUACGGUGCUCUGACUGUGAUCUAAGGAGUUUUGAGUUCUAUCACCGCCACACAGGAAACUCAAGAGACCUGUUCGACUUGCGUGUGCAGCGUGGGUUGAUUUUGCUUCCCAGAAUCUCUCCUUCCUGACGUGAAAUUCCCAUCUUAAGAUAAUGAGUUUGGGGAUUCACGUCAUCGUUGAAACCGUCAAAGGUGGACAACUAUCCUGCUCCUACCCCAAGUAGUGCGCCGCGCCUACCAGCGUCUUCAUUUCUGCGCUUGUAAACCUUUACCUUUGGACACCACAGGGUCAGGACUCAGGACGUGAGGGGAGGGGGAUCCCCGGCCAGCCAUACAACAAGUUGGCCUUGGCUGACGGUCCGCUGCCAUUUGGAUUAUAGAGUAGCUAUUGCCGAGAAACAACAAGGGCCAGCAGCAAAAACAAUUAUCGUGGCGGACAGGGGAAAAAAAUAACGGAAACUCCUCAAAAUACAUUACUGUCCGAGUGAAUUAAUGAAUGAAUAGUGAACACUGGCCACAUUACAUUUAUUAGAGGCUUUGUACAAUUGAUUUAUACAUGAUUUAUACAUUUAUUAAACCCUCAUUUCUUUCCAGAUUGAAAUUGUCCAUAACUCUCUCCACAAGAUUCCUGAUGGUGGUGAUGGUGGUGAUACGGAAAGCAGGAAGAAAGAAGUGACAAGUUUGAAGUUUGAAGACGCAAGCCAAAUCCAGGAGAGGAGCAAGUGAACAGCAAGCAAUUAA